UACGUAGGGACCAAGCGUUGUUCGGAUUUACUGGGCGUAAAGGGCGCGUAGGCGGCAAUUCAAGUCAGCUGUGAAAUCUCCGGGCUUAACUCGGAACGGUCAGCUGAUACUGCUUUGCUAGAGUGCAGAAGGGGCAAUCGGAAUUCUUGGUGUAGCGGUGAAAUGCGUAGAUAUCAAGAGGAACACCUGAGGUGAAGACGGGUUGCUGGGCUGACACUGACGCUGAGGCACGAAAGCGUGGGUAGCAAACAGG
rnacentral:rRNA from 1 species